UAGUUUCGUUUGCGUGUUAAUCAGUUGGUAAAAUGUAUCCAUUCACACGAAAUCAAGACAGCUAUGCCAAGUAACACAAUUUUAAGCCCCGAAACAUGCCUAAAAGUCUAGCAAUGUUCCAGACGACAUUAAGACUUCCGGUGCAUGAUUCUGUAAACACGGCCCCGCCAACUGUAUAAAUAGUAGAUCAAGAUCUUGAUCUGAUAGCAAUGAGAUCAAUAUAGAUCUAGAUCUAGAUCUAUAUACAUAGAUAGAUCUACUAUAAUAAUAAUAAUCUUUAUUGUCCGUAUGGAAAUUUGUCUUACAAUUUGUGCAUUACACCAAACAAAAAACAUUAUAACUAUAAGAAACCAAAGUGUACAUUCACACCAGACUCACUCAUAAUUUACAUGUGACAAAGUUUAUACCAGAUUAUUCUUAUUUAAUGAUUUGAUUGCCAGGGGAACAAAAGAGUGUUUGUGUCUGUUUGUCUUUGCUAUCGGUGUCUUGUAUCUCUUUUGUGAUGGUAAAAUCACAAAAUCCUGACACAAAGGGUGAUUCUUUAUUUCGAGGAUCUUGUUAGCUUUUUUUUUAUAGAUGUUUGUCUCAAACAACUGCUCAGAUGUUGUUUUUUUUUUUUUUUUUGCCAAUGAUUUUACCAGCAGUAUUUAGGAUUCUAAUUUGGGAUUGACUUGUCAAGGAAGGAUCUCUUUAAAGUAUUAAAUAUACUGGCAUAAAUGUAACGUGUCUUUGUCAAACUAACCGAACCUAUACUAAUUUGGAAACGAUAUCAGCAUUUUAAAUAUAUCUUGAUCUAUAAUCUACACGAGGAGGCGCGGUGGAUGAGUGGUAAAGCGCUUGGCCUCCGAACCGGGGUUCAAAUCCUGGUAUUUUUAAUUUUGGGAUCUUCGGGCGCCUCUGAGUCCACCCAGCUCUAAUGGGUACCUGAUAUUAGUUAGGGAAAAGUAAAUGCAAUUGGUGUUGUGCUGGCCUCAUGACACCCUCGUAAACCGUAGGCCACAGAAACAGAUGGCCUUUACAUCAUCUGCCCUAUAGACCACAAGGUCUGAAAGGGGAACUUUACUGCACUUCUAAUCUACUCCUAGAUUUUAGAUUUAUGCCAAUGCAGUAUGGAUUAUCUAUAUCUCGAGAAAAAAACAACGUAAUUUUGUUAUUUCUUGUAUGGUAGACAGACUUCCAUUUUGUGACAUCUUUUUUUUUCUCCCUCUGCCCCACUUAUAUAAAUAUGUUAACACCCAAGGCAUGUGCCUGAUGUUAAAAAGGUUUACCGUAUUAGCGAGACAUCAGUGUAUGCAUGCAAUGUGUGACCCUUUGUAUUGAACAGUGUGUUGCUGUUAUCUGGUGUGUAGAAUUGUGUGUGUGCAUGCUGCAUACUGAGUCUCGAUCUGUUGAAGCAACACGUGUCUACGUGGCCCGGCGAGGGAGGGAGGGAGAUCGGUGGAGGGUUGGGGUCCCUGCAUCGCGGGCUACAUCUGAUGAUGUGACGGCAUGGAGAAAAAAAAAAAAGAGAGGGGGUGGGGGGAGAGACUGAAAGAGCGGGAGAGCUGAAAGAGCCAGCGAGUCUGAUCAUGUCGGUGAUGGCGAAGGUUUGUCAUUGAAGCCAGGGGCGCGACACUUGAUCGUCCGUGCCGACGACACACACGCUGGCUGCCCCAUUUUUUUUUUUUGGUUCUAACGGGACUGUAGGCCACAUAGCAUAGCUCUCUCUCCCUCUCUCUCUCUCUCUCCCUCUCUUCUCUGGAGUACCGGUAGUGGCCCAUUUGUGUGUGAUCUGUAGGCUGCACACAAUUCAUUGACACGUGUGUGUAUCAAGACUCGUGCGACAUCAGGCCAUUCUCUAAUUCUUAAUGAUGGAUUAGUGAGGGGGGAAAUGUCGACAAAUCAUUAAAACAAGACAACAGUCUAACUCAGUAACUGCUCACAAGACUUUGAAAUGUGUUAUUUCAUCAUAAAUUGCACUAAAUUAAAUACCAGCCAUCGACAUAACAGCUCUAGCGACUUUAAUUAAUGCAUUACAGUUUACGCCGGUUGUUUCGAUCCUACUGGUGUGUAAGUUGAUCUAACUGGUGUGUCUAUAUGCCUAAAACCAGUGCACAAGCAGGGCACACAGUGUUUUAAAGUCAAGUAUGCAGCAGUGUGAUAGGAAGGUAACAAAGGACUUGGCUCAAGAUAAGUUUUUGUUUGUUUUUUAUUUAUAAUAUAUAAUCACUUAAGUGCUCCAUACAAGAUACGAGAAUGGUUAUUAUCACCUUGUUAUGUCAAAUAAGGCAAAAGACAUGGAGGAAUUGGAGAAAGACGGCAAGUCUUGCUUGGUGCCCCAAUGAUCCAACAGACUAAGGAAUAAGUAAAAGUACAUCAAAUAUUGUUUCUUUUAAUAUUUACUUGAUAGUGACAAGAAAUAGUGACUUAUAAAUGGACACAGCCAGAUGAGUUAUGAACUAUUUAACUACUGCUAAGGGCAGAAACGGUUGACUAAGGACUAGAGCAGCGGAAAUAAAAGUUGCUUGCAAAGGAACAGUCAACUUUCAAAUUGUUUCUUAAGAUGAAUUUACAUGAUAUCUAGGAGGCACUGUGGCUGAGUGGUAAAGUGCUUGGCUUCCAAACCAGAGGUUCUGGGUUCGAAUCCUGGUGAAGACUGGGAUUUUUAAUUUUGGGAUCUUUGGGUGCCUCUGAGUCCACCCAGCUCUAAUGUGUACCUGACAUUAGUUGGGGAAAAGUGAAGGCAGUUGGUCGUUGUGCUGGCCAUGACACCCUCGUUAACCGUUGGCCACAGAAACGGAUGACCUUUUCGUUUACAUCAUAUGGCCCUAUAGACCACAAGGUCUGAAAGGGGAGCUUUACUGUACAUGACAUAUCUAUAGUUAAAUACAGCACCUAAUCUUUGUGCUCCAUUGACACUGGUGCUAGGGUGACAACACAUCAACACUAAGCUGUAACGUGAUGCUAAUGAGACACAAAAAACAAAAGAAGUUUCCCAUGCAGAGUUGAGUACCCUUAUCAGUUCUUCGUCCAUUUUUGUGUAUGGUUGAGUGAGUGUGUUUGGCUGGCAGUUGAAUGGUGGAAUGAGCAGGCUGUGGUAUGGCGAUUGUGAUAUUUAGUGUCAUGAAUGGGUCUUUUAUUUGAGUGAAAUAAUGGCUGGGCUUGUACAGCAGGGGUGACAAGGAAUUAAUGUUGAACUGAAUGGAAGAGUGCUGUGUAUGCCACCUGCUGCAGUAUUUUGUUCAUUACAAAUUUUGUAUAAUAUUAAUGAAGCGUAGUCUAGAAAGGAAUGUGUGAUAGAAACAAACAGUAAUGUGAAGCUAAGUGUAAAGCCCAAGUUUGAGGAGGUAUCACAUAAUAGUGUUCCAUGUUAACAAAGACUUGUAGGUUGCAAUUGUUGUUUGUUUGUUUUUUUUUGUUUUUACAAUUUUUCUUGGGGUGUGAGAGAAAAAAAGGUUGGACUUGAAUGUAAUUCUCUUUUGAAAACAUUGUUGGCAUAUUCAAAGAUCUUACUUAGCAGAUGAAAUGUCAGAUACUUUAAAAAUUAAAAUUUUUUAAAUGUAGGUAAUAUUUUUUUCUUAGUUAAUUGUCAAAUAUAAAUUUAUUACUACAAUGACAAUGACUUUUGUUGUCCCUUAAAAAAUUAAUUGACGGGCUUUGCACAUUCUCCCCAAUCCCCCUUUUUUCAGAAUGUUGCUUCCCCAUGGUAGGACAUCUGGGAGCAGUCCCCACAGUUUGAGAGACACUUGCAUAGCCCAUUGUGUGUAACACUAGAACUGUGUAUUCAUGUCUGUUGAGUUUUGAAUAUUGACUUAGGUACACUAGACUUCAAGCAUGGCUUCAGUGCUGAUUAGCAACACUACUUGAUAGGUAGUCGCUGGGCUCUGCUAGCAACAUUUCAAUAUUGUAACUUCAUAUUAUAUCUGUUGGACUGCUAGACAAGCAUGUUAUCUUUGAAAACAAUUUUUAAAAAAACAACAUUCAGCACACACGAUUUCCAAUUUUCUGAAAAAGCCCUCUUGCUUUAACUAGUGGGCUAUUAUUAAACGUUGAUUAGGUUUAAUUCUUUUGCCUUAUUUCAAUUUUUUUUUUCAUCUUUUCAGAAUUAAGCUUUUUUUUUUUUUAUUCGUUUUAUCAUUAUCACAAAUAAAAUUAGCUUUUGGACUACAUUAGUAAAUUAUUAUCUCAUAGACAAAAUGAGAGUCAUUAUGCAUUGAUAAAAUCAGUCUUAAAACCUGGAUGUUUGCUGGGGUUAUAGUUAUUUUGCCUUUGAUUAAGAUACUUGUUUAGUUAUAAAGGAAUAUGUGCCUUAUAUAAUCUUUCCAAGGAAAUACUGAAGCAGUGUCUCAAUCUCUCUAUCCAGUGCUUGGUGUAAUGGUAUGAAUGUUACCAUGGCAACUAGACCAACAGCAACAAUUGUGGUCAUAUUCCAUUGCUAUUUUUGCAGCCCCUAUAUGUUUUUGUUUUUUUAACUUGGAUCAAAUCUCUUUCCUCAUUCGUUGAAGAGCUCUUGUCAAAACUCUGGCAGCUCUAGCAUUAGACCUGUGCAGCUAAUUAAGUUCCUUGAAUAAUUCGAUUAAACAAAUUUCCAUUAAUUUUUUUUUUUUCCUGCUUGUAAAUAUUACUGUUUCAUUAUUGCAGGUGGGUUGGACGAGUGUGCCAUCUUGUCAUCCAUUGUGCUUUUGUUACCAGGGCCGAGGUCGGCUGUAAUUCAGUUGGCCAAUAAAUGUAAUAGUUUUGUUUGACCUAGUUAUUAUUUCAACACCUCGGCGUACAGACAGUUCAAUAAUGUGUGUGGGGGAAAAUAAAUGUAAUAAAGAAAGCAGGAACAAAGUAGGGGAGAUAAAAGAUUUGUCUGUGUUCAAUAAUCAAUAUCUCUUUAGUUGCCAGAAAGACACUCUAGACAAGAAAUGGCCAGGAUAAUUAUUCUCCUGUUUGCUUUCAUUGAAGAGAACAAAAAAAAAGCUAAAAAAAAAUUUGGUUUUGUUAUAAAUCUUUUUUUUUUUUCCUUGAGAAAUACAGGAAAGGCUGAACUUGUCUUGGACUAAAGAUUUUGUUGAAGAGAUAUCUUCUAAGGACAUAAAUUUAACGAGGCUAUAAUUAGUUUUGUCAGCUGCUUGUAACAAAACAUCAGGUCAGUAGGCUUGUAAAGGCCUGUGUUCCGUUGCAUGCUGGAGAAAUUUUCUUUGGCUCAAUAUUUAGCCAUCAUAUUUCAAUUGGAUACUAGUGGAUGUUUGGCUGAGAGGUAUUCAUUGCUUUGCUUCCUAUCGGUCUCGAGUUCGAAACCAGCCUUGAGCUGAAUUGUGUUUGCUGAGUGCCUGUAGGCAGCACAAAAACUUUUCCCUAGACACUCUCCAAUCCCCCAAAGAGAUUGCACCAUAUAGUUCUGAGCAUGCUAUAAUAAUCAGAAAAGAUCUGCAAUAGAAAAAGGGAUUUAAAAAAAAAACGUAGAAGGAAGAUAUUUGUGAAAUGCACAAGAAUAAGAUGAAGUUUUGCUGUAGAAGGACGUUGACUUGUAGCACCAAACUGCUGGUAGGCAACUAAACCUUUGUAGGCAGAUUGUACUUUAACCUGUAAAACUUAAAAUAAUGUGAAUAACUUUUUUUUGUAAACAGAAAUAAAGAUAGCUUUUAUUGCAAAAUAAACAAGUAAACUGGAGAUGUAGUAGACUUAAGUAAAUAUAUAAAAUGGUAUUUUGAACAAAAUCUAUCUCACUAUAAAACACAUCUUUUUCAUUCUGCAUUCUAGAGUUGUCUGACCUAGCUUAAACCACUGAUGAAAAUGCUGUUUUUUUUUGUUUUUUUUUUAUCAUUCUUCCCACCAUCACCAUAGAAAUGUGCACACUCCAUAACAAGUGGUAAAAAAAAAAAAUAAUACAAGAAUACUAUGAAAUGUUGUUGUUUUUUUAUGUUGUGGGAAUUUUAAUAGUGAACUGCACAUGUAUAAGGUGGAAUUUUACAUCAGAAAAUAAUAUAAUAAUAAUUUAAUUUACGUAGCGCCGUUAAUAAACAAAAUGUAGGCUCAAGGCGCUGUGAUAAAAUUCCAAACAUAAAACCGAGAGUUAAAAUGACAAACUAAUUUUUUAAAAGUUUUAAACAGGUAGGUCUUAAUGUUCUUCUUGAAUGUAGUGUAGCAUGUUGUCUGUCGGAGAUCAAAUGGGAGUGAGUUCCAAACCUUUGGUCCAUGCACUGAAAAAGUCUGCAAAGAAUUUUUUUUUUUCAUUUUUAUGAUACAUUAAAUUUUAUUUUUUUUCUAAGCCAUUUUAAUAAACAAAAGUUGUUUAAUAUUUUCUUGGUCAUGACCUGAUAAUUGUAUGGUAUGUGUCUGCAGGCUGGCUGUGAUGAUAAACUGAGAUGUGUCCUGAAAGAUGGCCAAUAAAUACAUACAGUGAACUCAAGAUGGGAAUGUGCUGCGUUGUUCUGAGAUGGGAAAGGUGUAUAACUGAAGUAGAAUCUCAGCAUCUCUGACCUAAUACCUGGCAGUAAUGAUAAGCAGCAAUUAUUAAUAGAUGAAAAAACAUUUCUUUUUGUUUAAGAUUCCUAGUGGAAAUUAUUGUUAGAAUUUUGUUCAGAUGCAGUUCCACCAACACUCUUAUUUGUAGUCAACGAAUUGAGAUAUUGUUUAGUUAGUUUUGUACCCAUGGUUUUAAAGAGCGAUUUCUUUUUAUCGUGGAGUUUUAGUCUAACGAUUCUAGUGUCUGACCAAUGACGGACUUAAAGCCUACGUUUCCUCAUCACUUUUCCAUCCCGUCUGUAACAGAGCACUGGACGGAGAACUGAUAAGGGCUUGUGGGUGACCCUUCAACUCAUUGGUCAGUGGAAUAGCACCAUUCUAUGCAUAUUAAUUAUAUCUAUUUUGUUGAUAAAAAAUCAAAUGUUUUGUAUGUUUUGUGUCUAUUUUUUUGUUAGAUGUAAAAAAAAGAAAUGUGUUUUGUUUUUUUUUGCAUAUUUGUUUUUAAAGUUUUUUUUUUUUUUUUUUUUUCAUUUUUUAUUUAAAAAAUGUAUUGUUUUGGUUGAGAUGUUGAGUACAUGGGUUAAGAAAAUAAUAAAAUUAUGUGAAGAUGAUGUGGUUUUAAACAUUUUGAAUAAAAAUGUAAAAUGUUUAUUCCUUGUAGUAUUAUGCUAUAUGUAACAUGAUGUAAGGAAUUACUAAGAAACUAAGCAAUUUAAGCUUAUAUUUUUGUUUUUCCAUAAUAUUUUUUGAAAGCUGUUGAAACUAUUUUACAUUAAAUUUUUGUUCCUCAUUAUCUGGUUGGGUGAAAGUUGAUAAAAAUACCAUUGUUUCUGUGGCGCAUGAUUAACUAGGGUGUCUUGUAUCUAGCACAAUGACCAACUGCAUUUGCUUUUCCACAUUUUAUUUCAGGUACCCAUUACAUCUGGAUGAUUUCUGAGACACCCUAAAGAAAUAAAAAAUCUCAGUUUUCACCUGGACUUGAACCCUGGACUUCUCGUUUCGGAAGCCAAAGGCUUUACCACUUUGUUACUGCGACUCUGGUUACAAAGAAAUUUUUAAAAUUCUAUUUUUUUCCGCAAAUGCUUAAACCAGAGACUUUAUAUUGGUUAAAAGACAUCUAAAAAAUUUUAACUAUAGAUUACAUUAGAAAUACAACAAAGUGUUGUUUUUUUCUUCUAUUGACUGCUAGAGAUUUACACAAAAUAUUUCAAUUUGAUACAUAAUUCUUCAGAUACAUAUCUUAAUUCAAAUGAAAAGUACCGAAAAUAACUAUGCUGCUACAAGUCUUGUACAGUACCUUAAUAAAUUCCGUCCCUAAAGAGAACUUUACUAGGACAAAGUUGUUUAAUUUAACAAUUGCUAUUUACUUGAAUUUUUAACAUGUGUAUAUAUAAUUUGGCAUUUUAAAUAAAUAAAUAAUUUCUAAAACUUGAUGAAAAAAACGUUAA